rnacentral:rRNA from 1 species
UACAGAGGGUGCGAGCGUUAAUCGGAAUUACUGGGCGUAAAGCGUGCGUAGGUGGUUUGUUAAGUCUGAUGUGAAAGCCCUGGGCUCAACCUGGGAAUGGCAUUGGAUACUGGCGAGCUAGAGUGCGGCAGAGGGUAGUGGAAUUCCCGGUGUAGCAGUGAAAUGCGUAGAGAUCGGGAGGAACAUCUGUGGCGAAGGCGACUACCUGGACCAGCACUGACACUGAGGCACGAAAGCGUGGGGAGCAAACAGG